AAUAAUUUAUUUGAUGGUUUCUUACUACAUGGAUAACUGUAGUAAUUCUAGAGCUAAUACAUGCGUAAAGUCCCGACUCUCGCGGGGAGGGAUGUAUUUAUUAGAUAAAAAACCAAUGCGGGCUCUGCCCGGUUUUGUGGUGAAUCAUAGUAACUUUUCGAAUCGCAUGGCUUCACGCCGGCGAUAGUUCAUUCAAAUUUCUGCCCUAUCAGCUUUCGACGGUAGUGUAGUGGACUACCGUGGCGUUAACGGGUAACGGAGAAUUAGGGUUCGAUUCAGGAGAGGGAGCCUGAGAAACGGCUACCACA
rnacentral:rRNA from 1 species